rnacentral:rRNA from 1 species
UACAGAGGGUGCAAGCGUUGUUCGGAAUUAUUGGGCGUAAAGAGCUCGUAGGCGGUCUGUCGCGUCCGUUGUGAAAACUCGAGGCUCAACCUCGGGCUUGCAGUGGAUACGGGCAGACUAGAGUGCGGGAGAGGUGAGUGGAAUUCCUGGUGUAGCGGUGAAAUGCGUAGAUAUCAGGAGGAACACCGGUGGUGUAGACGGCUCACUGGACCGUAACUGACGCUGAGACACGGAAAGCGUGGGUAGCAAACAGG